AAGGUAGCAUAAUCAUUAGUUUUUUAAUUGAAAGCUGGUAUGAAAGGUUUGAUGAAAAAAUAACUGUCUCUAAUUUAAUUUAAUAGAAUUUUAUUUUUAAGUAAAAAAGCUUAAAUAUUUAUAGAAGACGAGAAGACCCUAUAGAGUUUUAUAUAAAAAUAUUAUAAGUUUUUUAGGAUUUUAAAUUUUAUGAUAUUUUUAUAUUUGGUUGGGGUGAUUGAAAAAUUAAAUAAACUUUUUUUUUAUUAUUACAUUUAUUUAUGAAUAAUUGAUCCUAAGUUUUAGAUUAUAAGAAAAAAUUAC
rnacentral:rRNA from 1 species